rnacentral:rRNA from 1 species
UACGGAGGAUCCAAGCGUUGUCCGGAUUUAUUGGGUUUAAAGGGUGCGUAGGCGGAUUACUAAGUCAGAGGUGAAAGUUUGCAGCUUAACUGUAAAAUUGCCUUUGAAACUGGUAGUCUUGAGUAUAGUUGAGGUGGGCGGAAUGUGUCAUGUAGCGGUGAAAUGCUUAGAUAUGAUACAGAACACCGAUUGCGAAGGCAGCUCACUAAACUGUAACUGACGCUGAGGCACGAAAGCGUGGGGAGCAAAC